UACGUAGGGUGCGAGCGUUGUCCGGAAUUAUUGGCGUAAAGGGCUCGUAGGCGGUCUGUUGCGUCAGGAGUGAAAACUCGGGGCUUAACCCCGAGCCUGCUUCUGAUACGGGCAGACUAGAGGUAUGCAGGGGAGAACGGAAUUCCGUGGUGUAGCGGUGAAAUGCGCAGAUAUCAGGAGGAACACCGGUGGCGAAGGCGGGUCUCUGGGCAAUAACUGACGCUGAGGAGCGAAAGCGUGGGGAGCGAACAGG
rnacentral:rRNA from 1 species